UACGAAGGGGACUAGCGUUGUUCGGAAUUACUGGGCGUAAAGCGUAUGCAGGCGGACUUUUAAGUCGGGGGUGAAAUCCCGAGGCUCAACCUCGGAACUGCCUUCGAUACUGGAAGUCUUGAGUCCGGGAGAGGUGAGUGGAACUCCGAGUGUAGAGGUGAAAUUCGUAGAUAUUCGGAAGAACACCAGUGGCGAAGGCGGCUCACUGGCCCGGUACUGACGCUGAGGCGCGAAAGCUAGGGGAGCAAACGGG
rnacentral:rRNA from 1 species